rnacentral:lncRNA from 10 species
GUUGGUUUUCAUCUUUCUCUGGUAUCUCCUUGAGUAGCAUAAUAAUCAAAUUUCUGAAUUCUUCAUCUGGUAUUUCAAAGAUUUUAUCUUAGUUUGGAUCCAUUGCUUGGGAUCUAGUGUAAUCUCUUGGGGUGUUAAAGAUUUUCAAGUAAUUGUAAGAAAUAAUACAGAGAGAUACCAUGUACUAUUUACUCAUUUUCUUCUAUUAGUAGUAUCUUGCAAAAGUGUAUUACAGUAACAUGGUGAUAUUUAUAUUGACAGUGACAAGAUAGCUCAUUUCCAUCACCAGAGGGUCCCUCAUGUUACCUGUCUAGAGUCCUACCCACCUCAUUUUCUCCAUCCCAUCUCUGACCCUGGGCAAACACUCAUGUUCUCUAUUCUCUAUAGAUUUUACAUUUCAGGAAUGUUAUAUAAAUGGAAACGUCUUCAUCUUGUCAAGUCAGA